GUUUGAAGGCACACUGAUAAUAAACAAACGUAAGGACAACAACAAAAAAAUUUGCAUUAAUUAUUCACAUGUCUCGAUAACGUUUAUUUUUAUUUUAUUUUAUUUUUUGAUUUAAAUGGAAACCAUUUCAUUGGAAUUGAAAUAUCCAGCUAGACGAAUAUCUAAUUCUCUUGAAUGGGAAGAAUAAUUAUAAAAUAGCUUCAAGUCAAAAGACUUUCUUUUAUAGCGAAAAACCUUGGUACAACCUGUAUUGAAAGUCAACACAGCAAGAAGAACUGUUUCUGGAAGAAAAAAUUAAAUAAAAAUAAAAUAAGAAUACAAACAAAAUGUGUGGUGCAAUUGUCCGGGAGGGAUGAAGCAACACAAUUUUUUUUUCCAGACAAUUUUGCUUUGUAGCUGUCUUCGUCUAUAUACGUUUAAAUAAUGGGCACGACGCUCGUGACACGAUACGAGGUUAAACGGAAGCCGCAAUUCUGUAAUGCGGGACCUCCCGGUUGGCUAACUUUCAAUGGAACGCAAUGAUUUUCUUUUUUUUUUUUUUGUCCAUCGUGGAAUGGCCGUGACGGAAAUUGGGUUUAUGCCAUUGCCAUUAUAUAUACUUGUCCGGCACGUAGGCAUUCUAUAUAAAAGCAUGUCGACCAUUGUUAAGUGUCAAAUUUUCAAAGAGUGCCUUCGCAAAAUCAAAGCUUUUGGUUUUCUUCGUUUUGCUGUACCGAAUUCCAAUUUUUCGAGUGUAUUCCAUAGCCACAAAGUUCAUCGUGAGAGCCGAUGAAGCAACAAGCAGGUCCGUCGCAACAGGCGAUAUAUCCGCCGAUCGUGUCAGGUUUCAUUCGCCGGAUAUGCAUUCGUGACUCUAUGGCUUAGAGCUGGAGUGCCUUUCUCUUUUUUACUACCCGCAUUUGAUACUCUCGCAGCCGUUAGACGUUCAACCCGUCCAUGGACGCACGAGGUUAUUUCGUUAUGCACGCUGGGUGUUCAACCGAAGCGACUCGCCACUUUAAUGAACCGUCCAAAGCCUUUGCUUGGCAAACAAAAAUGAUGCGCACGUAUUGCUUUGUUUGUGUAACGUGUCUGUAGUUCCAAAGCAGAAAAAAAAUAUUUAUAUAUAAUAAAAUUGUGCUACGCAUCGA